rnacentral:rRNA from 1 species
AACAAGGUUUCCGUAGGUGAACCUGCGGAAGGAUCAUUAUCGAAUUACCGGCGAGGGUUGUAGCUGGCCUUUCGGGGCACGUGCACGCCCGAGCCCUUAAUCCACACACACCUGUGAACCUAAUGUAAGGGCCCGUAAAAGGGUCCCUACGUCUCAUUUCAUCGACGCAUGUCUCAUAGAAUGUAAAUCAAUAUCUUCGCCUUAAAAAGCGUCGGUAAACUUAUACAACUUUCAACAACGGAUCUCUUGGCUCUCGCAUCGAUGAAGAACGCAGCGAAAUGCGAUAAGUAAUGUGAAUUGCAGAUUUUCAGUGAAUCAUCGAAUCUUUGAACGCACCUUGCGCUCCUUGGUAUUCCGAGGAGCAUGCCUGUUUGAGUGUCAUUAAAUACCUCAACCCCGAUGGAUUUGUUUCCUUCGGGGCUUGGACUUGGAGCGUGCUGGCGCGAGUCGGCUCCUCUCAAAUGCAUCAGCGGAAAUCAAUCUUUGGCUUUCGGACUUCAGUGUGAUAACCAUGUUGCGCUGUGGCACGAGCCUUAAGGUCCGCUUACAAUGGUCUUUGGACGAUUUCAUCAAAUUUGACCUCAAAUCAGGUAGGACUACCCGCUGAACUUAAGCAUAUCA